CUGGCAGGUUGACUCCGCCUCCUAGAGCUCAUUCUGAGCUUGCUGGUAAGCAGUGUAGGCCUCUCCAUUGAACUGGACUCUGUGUAGGACUUGUUUUUGCAGAUUUUUGGAAUAUUUAAUACGUUUUUCCAGACACAUUGAAGAUGAUUUCAAAAAGG